CACCAGGACUGCAGUUGACCGUACCGUAAUCCGACACAGGUAGGCGAGGCGAGCAGCCUAAGGUGCUCGAGUCAUUUACGGAAAAGGAACUCGGCAAAAUGACCCCGUAACUUCGGGAUAAGGGGUGCCGGUGGUAGCUGACCUAAUCAAGGGAAGGCGAAGCCGGCCGCAGAGAAUCGUCCCAAGCGACUGUUUAGCAAAAACACAGGAGCGUGCAAAGGCAUUGUCCAAGCCGACGUAUACGCUCUGACUCCUGCCCGGUGCCGGAAGGUUAAGGCGAGUUGUCAGCCGCAAGGCGAAGCAAUGAACCGAAGCCCCGGUAAACGGCGGCCGUAACGAUAACGGUCCUAAGGUAGCGAAAUUCCUUGUCGGGUAAGUUCCGACCUGCACGAAUGGAGUAACGACUUGGGAGCUGUCUCUUCCGUAAGCUCGGCGAAAUAGAAGCAUCGGUGAGGAUUCCGAUUACCCGCGACAGGACAAAAAGACCCCAUGCACCUUUACUACAACCUGUCAUUGAUUGUCGGUAUGCGUUGCGUAGCAUAGGUGGGAGCCAGUGAAACCGCGGUUUUGGCCGUGGUGGAGGCACCAGUGAAAUGCCACCCUUCGUUUACUAACAAUCUCACUCAGCCGGCAACACCGGCGAGGACCGUGGCAGGCGGGUAGUUUGACUGGGGCGGUCGCCUCCUAAAAAGUACCGGAGGCGCACAAUGGUUGGCUCAGUGCGGUCGGUAAUCGCACGAGGAGUGUAUACGCAGAAGCCAGCCUGACUGCAAGCGCGACGGCGCGAGCAGGGACGAAAGUCGGUGUAAGUGAUCCGGUGGGACCGUGUGGACGGCCCAUCGCUCAUCGGAUAAAAGGUACGCUGGGGAUAACAGGCUUAUCGCGCCCGAGAGUUCACAUCGACGGCGCGGUUUGGCUCCUCGAUGUCGGCUUAUCACAUCCUGGGGCUGGAGAAGGUCCCAAGGGUCCGGCUGUUCGCCGGUUAAAGUGGUACAUGAGCUGGGUUCAGAACGUCGUGAGACAGUUCGGUCUGUAUCCGUCGUGGGCGUGGGAGUGUUGGGGGACGUCGUCCUUAGUACGAGAGGACCGGGACGAAGCGACCGCUCGUGCACGGGCUAUCCUGCCAAGGGUAUCGCCCGGUAGCGAUGUCGCGCGAAGAUAACCGCUGAAAGCAUCUAAGUGGGAAACUUUUCCCAAGAUGAACACUCCUAGAUCUUAAGAUCUCUAAAGGGCCCAGGGAGACUACCUGGUUGAUAGGCUGCAGAUGCAAGGCGUGCAAGCGCUUCAGUCGAGCGGUACUAAUCGCCCGUGAAGUUUGAUCUC
rnacentral:rRNA from 1 species